GAUGAACGCUGGCGGCGUGCCUAAUACAUGCAAGUCGAGCGAAUGGAUUAAGAGCUUGCUCUUAUGAAGUUAGCGGCGGACGGGUGAGUAACACGUGGGUAACCUGCCCAUAAGACUGGGAUAACUCCGGGAAACCGGGGCUAAUACCGGAUAACAUUUUGAACCGCAUGGUUCGAAAUUGAAAGGCGGCUUCGGCUGUCACUUAUGGAUGGACCCGCGUCGCAUUAGCUAGUUGGUGAGGUAACGGCUCACCAAGGCAACGAUGCGUAGCCGACCUGAGAGGGUGAUCGGCCACACUGGGACUGAGACACGGCCCAGACUCCUACGGGAGGCAGCAGUAGGGAAUCUUCCUCAAUGGACGAAAGUCUGGCGGAGCAACGCCGCGUGAGUGAUGAAGGCUUUCGGGUCGUAAAACUCUGUUGUUAGGGAAGAACAAGUGCUAGUUGAAUAAGCUGGCACCUUGACGGUACCUAACCAGAAAGCCACGGCUAACUACGUGCCAGCAGCCACGGUAA
rnacentral:rRNA from 1 species